UUAUUUUACAUGGAUAACUGUGGUAAUUCUAGAGCUAAUACAUGCAACAAGCCUUGACCCUUACGGGCAAGGCGCAGUUAUUAGAUCAAAAACCAAUCGGUUGUAUCUUCGGAUAUAGCCGUUAGCUUGGUGACUCUGAGUAACCACAGCGAACCGUAUGGCCUUGUGCUCGACGGUCUGUCAGUCAAGCAACUGCCUUAUCAGCUUGUUGUUAGGUUAUAUGCCUAACAAGGCUUCAACGGGUAACGAACGAUCGGGGUCGGAUAUCGGAGAGGGAGCUUGAGAAACGGCUACCACUUCCAAGGAAGGCAGCAGGCGCGCAAAUUACCCACUCUCGGCAUGAGGAGGUAGCGAUAAAAUGUAUCGAUGCGGGGCCAUUAGUGCCUUCGUAAUCGGAAUGAGUACACUUUAAAUCCUAUAACAAGGACCUAUUGGAGGGCAAGUCUGGUGCCAGCAGCCGCGGUAAUUCCAGCUCCAAUAGCGUAUAUUAAUGCUGCUGCGGUUAAAAAGCUCGUAGUCGGAUCUGGGUUACCGGCGGGUACCGCAUGUUGCUUCAUGCAGCAUGUUGUGUACUAUACGUGUCGCUUCGGCGGCACUGCCAGUGUAAUGUUACCUUACAGGUGCAUUACGCUGGUCGCCGGAACCACGGGCCGGGUUGAGCAGCAUGCUCUUAAUUGAGUGUGUUGUUUACUCGGUGCGUUUACUUUGAAAAAAUUGGAGUGCUCAAAGCAAGCGUACAGUCGCUAUGCGGCUUGAACAGUGGUGCAUGGAAUAAUGGAAUAGGGCCUCGGUUCUAUUUUGUUGGUUUUAAGAUAUCGAGGUAAUGAUUAAGAGGGACAGACGGGGACGUUUGUAUUGCGACGUUAGAGGUGAAAUUCUUGGAUCGUCGCAAGACACACUAAUGCGAAAGCAUUCGUCUAGAAUGUUUUCAUUGAUCAAGAACGAAAGUUAGAGGUUCGAAGGCGAUCAGAUACCGCCCUAGUUCUAACCAUAAACGAUGCCAACCAGCGAUCCGUCGGUGUUCUCAAUUAUGAAUGACCCGACGGGCAGCUUCCGGGAAACCAAAGUUUUCGGGUUCCGGGGGAAGUAUGGUUGCAAAGCUGAAACUUAAAGGAAUUGACCGA
rnacentral:rRNA from 1 species